AUGAAACCACAUUUUACCUUAAUGAAGACAGUAAUCUUUAAUAAGGUGUAGAAAAAACAGGUGAGUUGUUUGUUGCUGUGGUACACAAAGAAGUGUACUGAGUCUUUUGGACUACACAGAGUGAUGUAGUAUUGACUGUGAUGCUGAUCUGAGUUGUCUCAUUCUGUAUUUUUGUGCUUUGUCUUUUGUUACACAGAGUGAAAGAGAUCUUUGGUUUUGCCUUUGCUGACUGCUGAUCUGAUCGUCUCAAGUCUGGUGACCUGCUGCAGAAA